UAAGCUUCAAGAACUUUCAGUACCGAAGCACCACCUUCUCAGAGGAUGAGGAGAUAGCCAAGGCUAAGAGUUUAGGCUAAGAACUAUGAACUAAGGGUAACCUAAGGUAAUGUAAAUAAAGAUAAAUGCAAAGAUAAGAUAAAGGUAAACGAUAGGUGUUUGAUUGUAAGGGGAUCAUUCUUUUAAGAAACAACUUAGUUUUUGUACAACACCUUUCAAUGUAACAUCUACUUU
rnacentral:lncRNA from 1 species